GCCCGCGUAGUUUAAUGGUUAUGACGUCAGACUUCUAUGAGCCACGCGAUGCUGGUCCGAGUUAAAAUCUGAAGGCUGCGGGUUCGAGUCCCGCCGUGGGUA
rfam:Schizopora paradoxa strain KTC8140 unplaced genomic scaffold SCHPAscaffold_00003, whole genome shotgun sequence.